rnacentral:rRNA from 1 species
UACGUAGGGUGCAGGCGUUUAAUCGGAAUUACUGGGCGUAAAGCGUGCGCAGGCGGUCUUUUUAAGUCAGAUGUGAAAAUCCCCCGGGCUUAACCUGGGGAACUGCAUUUGUGACUGCAUGGCUGGAGUGCGGCAGAGGGGGGAUGGAAUUCCGCGUGUAGCAGUGAAAAUGCGUAGAUAUGCGGAGGAACACCAGUGGCGAAGGCGGCUCACUGGCCCGGUACUGACGCUGAGGUGCGAAAAGCGUGGGGGAGCAAACAGG